rnacentral:tRNA from 1 species
GCGCCUGUGGUUCAGCGGUAGAAUGCUUGCCUUCCAAGCAAGCGACCCGGGUUCGAUUCCCGGCGGGCGCA